rnacentral:rRNA from 1 species
UACGUAGGGGGCGAGCGUUGUCCGGAUUUAUUGGGCGUAAAGAGCUCGUAGGCGGCUUGGCAAGUCGGGUGUGAAACCUCCAGGCUCAACCUGGAGACGCCACCCGAUACUGCUGUGACUAGAGUCCGGUAGGGGAGCGUGGAAUUCCUGGUGUAGCGGUGAAAUGCGCAGAUAUCAGGAGGAACACCAGCGGCGAAGGCGGCGCUCUGGGCCGGAACUGACGCUGAGGAGCGAAAGCGUGGGGAGCAAACAGG